UAAUACAGGCUGUCCUCAAGCCAUCUCCAUUAACUGCUCCAAAUUCCGCAGUCUUUAUGUCUUUCUCCACAGUAAAAAACGAGGUUUAGUUUAGUUUAUUGUCA